rnacentral:rRNA from 2 species
GCUUGCUCCCGGAUGUUAGCGGCGGACGGGUGAGUAACACGUGGGUAACCUGCCUGUAAGACUGGGAUAACUCCGGGAAACCGGAGCUAAUACCGGAUAGUUCCUUGAACCGCAUGGUUCAAGGAUGAAAGACGGUUUCGGCUGUCACUUACAGAUGGACCCGCGGCGCAUUAGCUAGUUGGUGGGGUAAUGGCUCACCAAGGCGACGAUGCGUAGCCGACCUGAGAGGGUGAUCGGCCACACUGGGACUGAGACACGGCCCAGACUCCUACGGGAGGCAGCAGUAGGGAAUCUUCCGCAAUGGACGAAAGUCUGACGGAGCAACGCCGCGUGAGUGAUGAAGGUUUUCGGAUCGUAAAGCUCUGUUGUUAGGGAAGAACAAGUGCGAGAGUAACUGCUCGCACCUUGACGGUACCUAACCAGAAAGCCACGGCUAACUACGUGCCAGCAGCCGCGGUAAUACGUAGGUGGCAAGCGUUGUCCGGAAUUAUUGGGCGUAAAGGGCUCGCAGGCGGUUUCUUAAGUCUGAUGUGAAAGCCCCCGGCUCAACCGGGGAGGGUCAUUGGAAACUGGGAAACUUGAGUGCAGAAGAGGAGAGUGGAAUUCCACGUGUAGCGGUGAAAUGCGUAGAGAUGUGGAGGAACACCAGUGGCGAAGGCGACUCUCUGGUCUGUAACUGA